rnacentral:snoRNA from 1 species
AAACCAUGCAUUGGAAAUUUCCAAAGUAGUUCUUUAAAUCUUUCCCAAGCUUCAUACAACGUUUCAUCCUCUGAUUUUUGAAAAGACGUGAUGUCAGUUCUAAGCUU